UACAGAGGGGGCAAGCGUUAUUCGGAAUUAUUGGGCGUAAAGGGCGCGUAGGCGGUUUGGCAAGUGGAAGGUGAAAUCCCUUGGCUUAACCGAGGAACUGCCCUCCAAACUGCUUCGCUUGAGACCGGGAGAGGUGAGUGGAAUUCCCAGUGUAGCGGUGAAAUGCGUAGAUAUUGGGAGGAACACCAGUGGCGAAGGCGAGUCUCUGGGAUGAUACUGACGCUGAUGCUCGAAAGCUAGGGGAGCAAACGGG
rnacentral:rRNA from 1 species